GCAUCUUGACAACCUCUUUGACAUAGGCUAUCAUUCGUUCAUCUCGGGCUGCAUACUCGCAUGUUACCUGAUUCACAAUAAGUUGGAGUCAUAGAAGACUACCACCUUUUCAACUUCCAUUGUUGCUACUAACUUCAACCCUGCAAUCAGUGCCUCAUACUCUGCUUCAUUGUUUGAGGACUUAAACGCCAAACAAAUAAACUACUCUAUCAUUCGCCCAUGUGGCGAUACUAACACUACUCCUGCCCCCGCUCCUUGACUGUUUGAGCUUUCAUUAACAAACAGGCAGAAGGAGUCACUGAUGUAGAUGUCACAGGGCUUUGGUUUCUUUGGUUUCUUUUGUUUUGUUGGAGUAGGGUUCUUGGGCCCCAGUUGGGUUUUCUUUGGCUCGCCUGGACAACCGAGGAUGCAGCACACCGAAGCCCGAUGUGGGGUGCUACCUAGGGUAAAUUUGGCCACAAAGUUGGCCAAAACUUGACUCUUGAUCGCUAUUCUAGGCCUGAAUUCUGAGUCGUAUUGGCCUAGUACCACUGCACACCUAGUUAUUCUACCUAUCAAAUCACCAUGUUGCAAUAGAGACUUCAGGGGAUGCUCAGUUAGCACCACAAUCUUGUGGGCUUGGAAGUAGUGAUUCAAUUUUUUCGAAGCCAUCACCAAGGCUAGUGUCAAUUUUUCUAAGGGCAUGUACCUGGUUUCUGCACUUGCUAGGGUCUUACUUACAUAGUAUACUGCCUUUUGCUCUCUUUCCUCUUCCCUGAUUACCAUUGCACUCAUUGCGUGCUCUGAAACUGCCAAGUAUAGGAACAACUCUUACCCAGGUAUUGGAUUUGACAGAAUUGGAGUUGUUGUUAAGUACCUGUUCAAGUCAGCCAAUGCGACUUUGCACUCUUCUGUCCACAAAAAAUCUGUGGCUUUCUUUAACAAACUAAAAAAUGGUCUACACUUAUUAGAACUUCGGCUAAUAAACCUAUUCAGGGUUGUUGCCUUACCAGUCAAAAUCUGGACUUGCUUGGCUAAUGUCAAGCCCUUUAAGUCAAGAAUGGCCUUGAUUUGAUCUGGGCUUGCCUCAAUGCCCCUUUUGGUAACCAAGUAUCCCAAGAACUUACCAGACCCGACUCCAAAUGCACAUUUCGAAACAUUGAGUCGGAGCCGAUAUGUUCUCAGGCUAUCAAAAACUACCUUCAAGUCGACUAGGUGAUUCCUAGGUUUUUUGGUCUUCACGACCAUGUCAUCAAUGUAUACUUCUACUAUCUUGCCAAUCAAAUGUUUGAACAUCUUAGUCACUAACCUCUAGUAGGUUGCUCCUGCAUUUUUCAACCCAAAAGGCAUCACUCUGUAAUAACACAACCCUUUUGGGUUGAUGAAUGCAGUCUUCUCCUCGUCAGGGGGAUACAUUCCUAUUUGGUGGUAUCCCUUGUAAGCAUUUAAGAAGCUCAUCCUCUCAUGCCCUGAAGUGGCAUCCACCAGCUGAUCAAUUUUAGGCAAAGGGAAGUUGUCUUUAGGACAAGCCUUAUUCAGGCUAGUGAAGUCCAUGCAGACCCUCCACUUCCCAUUCUUCUUUUUCACAACUACUGUGUUUGACAGCUAGGUUGGAUAGUUCACAUCCCAAAUGGCCCUAGCUUCUAACAGUUUGUCCACUUCAUCAUCUACUGCCUCCACAUGAAUCAAUGUUGGCCUUCUGGCCUGUUGGAUGACAUGUUUAGCUGACCUAUCUACAUUAAGUCUAUGGCAAGUGACCUCAGGGUCAAUGCUAGGCAUCUCGUAUGGCGUCCAAGCAAAUACUUUUAUGUUUGCUCGCAAGAAAGCCUCUAACUCCCUUUCCUCCUCCUCGGCUAAACUUGAGCCGAGAAGAAAGAAGCGCUCUUCGUCACCUUCUUGAACCAGAAUUUUCUUCAAAGCCUCCUCACUCUUGUCAGCUGGUUCUUUGCCGACAUCAUCUAGGACCUCCAUAUCCUCAUCUUCCAUUUUCACUGUCUUUGUAUCGCACACAUUACAAGUGGACUUCAUUGCUGCCAUGGAGUAAUUUUUUGCCUGCACUUGAUCCCCCUUUGACCUCCUCAAUACCAUGUUUAGUUGGGAAUCGCAACAGCUGGUGCAAUGUUGAGGGAACAACCCUCAUUGCAUGCAACAACGGUCUACCCAAGAUAAUAUUAUAAGGGAAGGGGGUGUCAAUUACUGUGAACUCCGUGCUUACCUACUUCGUGCUUGCCUGCACUUCCAAAUUCGUGGCUCCUAGAGGCCAUAACAGUGUUCUAUUGAACCCAACCAUUGGGUUGUUGGACUGUUCCAGAUUAUUUGGGUGAAGGCCAAGUUCCUUAUAACAUCUAAUAUACACGAUGUCACAAGAACUGCCUUGAUCAACCAGUAUGCGCCUUACCUGGUACUCCCAAAUCUUCAGCGUUAUCACCAAGGCGUCAUUGUGUGGAUGCUGCACCAUAUCCAGGUCUGCCUCGGUAAAAGAGACUAUUGGUCCCUGAUACUCAUUAGUCCUAGGCUUCUUUUGCUGGACUUGAUACACAUGUUGCAGGCGCCUCACUCUCUGAGUCUUCCCACGCACCUCAUUCUCAUUGACUUUCGAGUGAAUCACAUUGAUCACCCGAAGUCUAUCUGCUUGCUGUGGUGGCGGUGGUGCUGCUGCCGAUGCAUGGGGUAGCCUUGCCUGCUCUUCCCUUGUUCUGGCCUUAUCUACUAGGUCUCUCAAAUGAUCCUGUCUGACCAGAUCCUCCAAGUGCGUCUUCAGAGCCCUACACCCCUGGAGAAUGAACACAGUGGUGACUGCCUUUAUAUCCCCAUCUCAAGCCUGUCUCUUGCCUGUUAAAACCUGUGUUACCUCGGCCUCGCUUCGACGAGCCAUUUCUCUUCUCCUACUUUGGUCCCUUUGCCCCGUGUUUGUCUUCCUCUGCUCUGGCAUAUUUCUCAAUUUGUUCCAUGAGCUCCUUCAUACUCUUUGGUAGAGUUUUUGAAAGUGAUUUUCAAAGCGGGCAUUCAUUCUCCAGGCCGUUUUUAAAAGAUACGAUCGCCAGCUCCUGGUUGCAUGUCGGUAUUUGGUUGAACACCUCAUAAUAUUGUUUGGUCUAAGCCCUGAGGCUUUCCUCUUCGCUAAUGUUUAAAGCCAGCAGAGAGUCUACCCUUAGUGGCUGUAACUUAUUUGUUACAAACCUGGCCACAAACAUCUCAGCCAAGCCUUCCUAACUCUUCACAGUUCCUUUCGGCAACUUGUGGAACCAAUUCGACGCAAUUUCCCCAAAGGAUAAAGGGAACAUUUUGCACAGCAGCUACUCGUUCCCAUUAUACAAAUCCAUUGAAUUCAAAUACAAGUUGACAUGAAAGUUUGGAUCAAACUUACAGUCAUAAACCUGGAACCUCAGCAUAUGAAAUCUUUUUGGGCCCUCAAACCUAUCCAACUCCAUUAAGAACGGCAUUCUCUGUUUGAUGGGGGAUGUGACCUCGGCAUUGAGUCGCUUCCUCUGGAGGUAGUCUCUCAGAUCCUCCUUCAUUUGACUGGGCGCUGGGCUAUCAACAGAUUUCAACCUUUUUGGUGAGCUGCUCCCGGCAUCGUGGUGUGUCCUCUUGGAUUUUUCUUCAUUCACUGUAUGAAAGCAAAGUCUCUUCCCCUAGACAUGCCGUUGUUCUUUGUCAUAGGUUCCCUUGGUAUGAGGCGUCCUCUACGACUCACCUCUUACUGACUCUACUCGCCCGACAUCCCGUGAAGGUUGAUGUAAACGUUCCUUCUCCUUGUCAUGCUGAAGGACUACUGGGAUUGCUUUAUGCCCUCCUUUCUAGGCGUCGGUCUUGGCUGCUGGUAUCGACAUGUCCUGCAACGGGUACGAUGGCUACAUUACGUUGUUCUGUAUCAUGAAGUUAACAACUGAUUGUAGGUCUAUCAACUUGUUUGUCAUCUCCUUCAUCUCGCCGUCCCUCCUUAGGUAUCUAUCCUUCCAUACCUGGAGGUCGCUCUCGUUGUAAUAUUCAUCUUAGCCUGCUUUUUUUGGGGCGUCUCCCUCUUUGCUAACAUCCUUCUCCUAAUGAUUCUGAUCCCGUGCUCCUUCAUUACGAUUUUCUUCCUCGAUGUUUGGAUCAACAUGUUUACCACUCCCACCUAGGACGUCAUCCCCGAUCCUUUCUCCCUGCCCAUUGUUGGCCAUCUAUUCUCUUUAAAUUUCCACAGAUGGCGCCAAAUUGUUGGUGUCGAUUUUUGACCACAUAACCAAACGGGAAACUCAGCUGGAGAGCACCAGCAAAAUAGAUUAAGCCCAACAACCUGCACAAGAAGAUGAGAAUUUGACGGUGGUUCAUCCACCCAAGGGCACUUUGACGAUCAAGUCAAUAAUCAAUAUCUCUUAAAGAUAACAAAUUAUGCUUAAACUCACAAGAAAUAACUUACCUCAAACCCAUAAGGGUACCUUACUUUUAUAGCUAGUAGUGACCCGAUCUCAUUAGAAGUCUCACUUCAAUGGACUCAAGCUCAAUGCUCAUCUUAGACCUUCAUCUAGAUAGAGAUAAACCCUUCUUGAGCCUUAUCUUUAUCCAAACUGAAAUCCUCUCCUGUUCUAGGACUCUUGUCCCUUAUCCGCUCAUCUCGGAUUCCGGUAUCCCCGCAGAUAACCUCAGCCUAACUGAGACCACCUCAGCGCAUGACCAAGCCAUGUGGCACCUCGGCUGACAUUUCAGCGUUACCUUAGCCAUGUGUUGCCAUUCACAAAAUAAGUCCCCACACUUCUCAUGUUUGGUUGACUAAAAGAAUAAUGAAAAAUUCAUUACAAUGGGAAUCAUCAUUAACCAUUAUAAGGGAAUAAUCAUUUCAUAGGGAAGUGUAAGGAAUAACCAUUUCAUUUUAUUUCAUCUCAUUCCAGUGAAUCAAAUAAAGCAUAAACGAGAUUGAAGUUUUUCAAAUAUGAUUAGUGUUCUGAUAAAUGAUUUGGGUGAUUUUGGUAAAUGUGUGAAUUAGGUUUCCUUUUUUAACAUGCAAAGUAAUGUUCUGUGAUCUUUUGUUUUUAUUUGGUUGUUAAAAAUUAAAAUUAUAGUGAGAAAGAAAUAAGCCCAUUAUAAUUAAAUUAUAGCACAAUUAAGUAAUCAAAUAGUCAUUGUAUAGCCAUUGGUAUUUAAACCUUAUCUAUUUAUAGCACUAUUAAAUGCGUUAUUUCUUCACUAUAGAUCUGGGGUGUUUCAACCUCUUCAACAACCUUGAAGUUCAUUUUAAUUCAAAUUAUGGACAACAUUCAUAUUUUUGGUGAUGUGGAUGAUAUGUUAGAGGAAACAAUGGCUUUUGGCAUGGACUUGUGGAUAAUCAAUUUUUGUGUAUGGAGGACACUUGACACUUUUGUAUAAUUCUGCUAACUAUGUUGUCCUCUGCUUUUGUAUAGAUUAGUAUUACUGAUACAGAUAACUUUUAUAAUCCAAUUGAUAGUUACUGGCGUGGCAUAUAGAUCACUUUUUGUCGUGGUACAGAUUACGAUAGUAAUUUGUACCAUGCCAAAUGGCCAUUUCAUAUAUAUUUUUUUUGUAUAUGGAGGGUUGGAUUUUAGUAUGCUUCUCUAUUUUGUGUGGAAAUAUAAUUUUAGUUUGGACAAUAGUUGGUUUGUAUGGAAUAUAUACAUUUACAGUUAUUCAUUUUUGGA